UACGUAGGUGGCAAGCGUUGUCCGGAUUUACUGGGCGUAAAGAGCGCGCAGGCGGUCGUGCAAGUCGCGUGUGAAAGCCCCCGGCUCAACUGGGGAGGGUCACGCGAUACUGCUCGACUCGAAGGCAGGAGAGGGAAGUGGAAUUCCCGGUGUAGUGGUGAAAUGCGUAGAUAUCGGGAGGAACACCAGUGGCGAAGGCGGCUUCCUGGUCCAGCACCGACGUUCAGGCACGAAAGCGUGGGGAGCAAACAGG
rnacentral:rRNA from 1 species